rnacentral:rRNA from 1 species
AGCAGUAGCCACGGUAAUACGAAGGGUGUAAGCGUUAAUCGGAAUUACUGGGCGUAAAGCGUGCGCAGGCGGUUUGUUAAGACAGAUGUGAAAUCCCCGGGCUCAACCUGGGAACUGCAUUUGUGACUGGCAAGCUAUAGUGUGGCAGAGGGGGGUGGAAUUCCGCGUGUAGCAGUGAAAUGCGUAGAUAUGCGGAGGAACACCGAUGGCGAAGGCAGCCCCCUGGGCCAACACUGACGCUCAUGCACGAAAGCGUGGGGAGCAAACAGGAUUAGAUACCCGCGUAGUCCCUGUCUCUUAUAC